rnacentral:rRNA from 1 species
AGAGUUUGAUCAUGGCUCAGAAUCAACGCUGGCGGCGUGCCUAACACAUGCAAGUCGAGCGAGAAAGGGGCUUCGGCUCUGAGUACAGCGGCGCACGGGUGAGUAACACGUGGGUAAUCUGCCCUCGAGUGGGGAAUAACACCGGGAAACCGGUGCUAAUACCGCAUACGAUCGCGAUGUCUUCGGAUGUUGUGAUGAAAGGAGCAAUUCGCUCUUGGAGGAGCCCGCGGCUGAUUAGCUAGUUGGUGAGGUAAUGGCUCACCAAGGCUACGAUCAGUAUCCGGUCUGAGAGGACGGUCGGACACACUGGAACUGAGACACGGUCCAGACUCCUACGGGAGGCAGCAGUGGGGAAUUUUUCGCAAUGGGGGCAACCCUGACGAAGCAACGCCGCGUGGAUGAUGAAGUAUCUCGGUACGUAAAGUCCUUUCGACGGGGAAGAAACCGCAAGGUUGACGGUACCCGUAGAAGAAGCCCCGGCUAACUCCGUGCCAGCAGCCGCGGUAAUACGGGGGGGGCAAGCGUUGUUCGGAAUUACUGGGCGUAAAGGGCGCGUAGGCGGUCCGCUAAGUUGAAUGUGAAAACUCUGGGCUUAACCCAGAGCCUGCAUUCAAUACUGGCAGGCUAGAGUUCUGGAGGGGAUAGCGGAAUUCCUGGUGUAGCGGUGAAAUGCGUAGAUAUCAGGAGGAACACCGGUGGCGAAGGCGGCUAUCUGGACAGAGUCUGACGCUGAGGCGCGAAAGCUAGGGGAGCAAACAGGAUUAGAUACCCUGGUAGUCCUAGCCCUAAACGAUGGAUACUUGCUGUGUCUGGGAUUGAAUCCAGUCGUGGCGAAGCUAACGCAUUAAGUAUCCCGCCUGGGGAGUACGGUCGCAAGGCUGAAGCUCAAAGGAAUUGACGGGGGCCCGCACAAGCGGUGGAGUAUGUGGUUUAAUUCGACGCACGCGAAGAACCUUACCUGGGCUCGAACGGCUGGUGACAGGGGUGGAAACA